CGACCUGAGCUCAGGCAAGAACACCCGCUGAACUUAAGCAUAUCAAUAAGCGGAGGAAAAGAAACUAACCAGGAUGCGCUUAGUAACGGCGAGCGAACCGCGCAAAGCCCAACUUAAAAUCUCCCUUUGGAGAAUUGUAGUCUAUAGAAGCGUCCUCUGCAGCGGACCGAGCUCAAAUCUUCUGGAAAGGAGUGUCAGAGAGGGUGAGAACCCCGUCGG
rnacentral:rRNA from 1 species